GCUCAGAUUGAACGCUGGCGGCAGGCCUAACACAUGCAAGUCGAACGGUAACAGGAAGCAGCUUGCUGCUUCGCUGACGAGUGGCGGACGGGUGAGUAAUGUCUGGGAAACUGCCUGAUGGAGGGGGAUAACUACUGGAAACGGUAGCUAAUACCGCAUAACGUCGCAAGACCAAAGAGGGGGACCUUAGGGCCUCUUGCCAUCGGAUGUGCCCAGAUGGGAUUAGCUAGUAGGUGGGGUAACGGCUCACCUAGGCGACGAUCCCUAGCUGGUCUGAGAGGAUGACCAGCCACACUGGAACUGAGACACGGUCCAGACUCCUACGGGAGGCAGCAGUGGGGAAUAUUGCACAAUGGGCGCAAGCCUGAUGCAGCCAUGCCGCGUGUAUGAAGAAGGCCUUCGGGUUGUAAAGUACUUUCAGCGGGGAGGAAGGGAGUAAAGUUAAUACCUUUGCUCAUUGACGUUACCCGCAGAAGAAGCACCGGCUAACUCCGUGCCAGCAGCCGCGGUAAUACGGAGGGUGCAAGCGUUAAUCGGAAUUACUGGGCGUAAAGCGCACGCAGGCGGUUUGUUAAGUCAGAUGUGAAAUCCCCGGGCUCAACCUGGGAACUGCAUCUGAUACUGGCAAGCUUGAGUCUCGUAGAGGGGGGUAGAAUUCCAGGUGUAGCGGUGAAAUGCGUAGAGAUCUGGAGGAAUACCGGUGGCGAAGGCGGCCCCCUGGACGAAGACUGACGCUCAGGUGCGAAAGCGUGGGGAGCAAACAAGAUUAGAUACCCUGGUAGUCCACGCCGUAAACGAUGUCGACUUGGAGGUUGUGCCCUUGAGGCGUGGCUUCCGGAGCUAACGCGUUAAGUCGACCGCCUGGGGAGUACGGCCGCAAGGUUAAAACUCAAAUGAAUUGACGGGGGCCCGCACAAGCGGUGGAGCAUGUGGUUUAAUUCGAUGCAACGCGAAGAACCUUACCUGGUCUUGACAUCCACGGAAGUUUUCAGAGAUGAGAAUGUGCCUUCGGGAACCGUGAGACAGGUGCUGCAUGGCUGUCGUCAGCUCGUGUUGUGAAAUGUUGGGUUAAGUCCCGCAACGAGCGCAACCCUUAUCCUUUGUUGCCAGCGGUCCGGCCGGGAACUCAAAGGAGACUGCCAGUGAUAAACUGGAGGAAGGUGGGGAUGACGUCAAGUCAUCAUGGCCCUUACGACCAGGGCUACACACGUGCUACAAUGGCGCAUACAAAGAGAAGCGACCUCGCGAGAGCAAGCGGACCUCAUAAAGUGCGUCGUAGUCCGGAUUGGAGUCUGCAACUCGACUCCAUGAAGUCGGAAUCGCUAGUAAUCGUGGAUCAGAAUGCCACGGUGAAUACGUUCCCGGGCCUUGUACACACCGCCCGUCACACCAUGGGAGUGGGUUGCAAAAGAAGUAGGUAGCUUAACCUUCGGGAGGGCGCUUACCACUUUGUGAUUCAUGACUGGGGUGAAGUCGUAACAAGGU
rnacentral:rRNA from 1 species